AUGACUUUGAUCUGCGUCCUCAUCUGGACUCUCCUCUGCUGCUGCUUCACAGAGACCAGAGGACAGAUCACAGUGACUCAGCCUGGAGCAGUGAGCUCUGCUGUGGGAGGAACUGUGAGCAUCAAGUGUAGGACCAGUCAGGAUGUUUAUGUUCAUAGCAACUACCACUGUUUAGCCUGGUACCAACAGAGAGAUGGAGAAACUCCCAAACGUCUUAUUUACUACACUAGCACUCGACAAUCAGGAAUUCCAGCUCGUUUUACAGGCAGUGGAUCAAACUCUGACUUCACUCUGACCAUCAGUGGAGUCCAGGCUGAAGAUGCAGCAGUUUAUUACUGUCAGAGUUGGCACUACCCUAACAGUCAGUGGGUGUGCACACAGUGAAAAACAGUCGUACAAAAACC